rnacentral:rRNA from 1 species
AAACGAGAAGACCACGAGUUAUGAUCCAGAGUACCACGAGACACGUGAAACCUUGUGGGAAGCAGGGAGGACCACCUCCCAAGGCUAAAUACUACCUGAUGACCGAUAGUGAAGCAGUACCGUGAGGGAAAGGUGAAAAGAACCCCGGGAGGGGAGUGAAAUAGAACCUGAAACCGUGUGCCUACAACCGCUCAGAGCCCCUUAUGAGGGUGAUGAGGUGCUUUUUGUAGAACGAGCCAACGAGUUACGGUAUGUAGCAAGGUUAAGUACUUAAGGUACGGAGCCGAAGGGAAACCGAGUCUGAAUAGGGCGACUAGUUGCAUGCCGUAGACCCGAAACCGGGUGACCUAUCCAUGGCCAGGUUGAAGCGAGGGUAAAACCUCGUGGAGGACCGAACCACGUUGCUGUUGAAAAAGCAUGGGAUGAGCUGUGGAUAGCGGAGAAAUUCCAAUCGAACCCGGAGAUAGCUGGUUCUCUCCGAAAUAGCUUUAGGGCUAGCGUCGAGUAUGAGUAGUGGAGGUAGAGCACUGAAUGGGCUAGGGGGCAUAGCGCUUACCGAACCUUAUCAAACUCCGAAUGCCACAUACUUUGAGCUCGGCAGUCAGACUACGAAUGAUAAGAUCCGUGGUCAAAAGGGAAACAGCCCAGAUCGUCAGCUAAGGUCCCAAAGUGUAAGUUAAGUGGGAAAGGAUGUGAGAUUUCUAAGACAACUAGGAUGUUGGCUUAGAAGCAGCCAUUCAUUAAAAGAGUGCGUAAUAGCUCACUAGUCGAGAGAUCUUGCGCCGAAAAUGUAACGGGGCUAAACUUACCACCGAAGCUACGGGCUUGAACUUAGUUCAAGCGGUAGGAGAGCGUCGUAACCGGGCUGAAGUCGUACCGUAAGGAGCGGUGGACUGGUUACGAGUGAGAAUGUUGGCAUCAGUAGCGAGAUGUGGGUGAGAAUCCCACAGGCCGAAAACCUAAGGUUUCCUCAGGAAGGUUCGUCCGCUGAGGGUUAGUCGGGACCUAAGCCGAGGCCGAAAGGCGUAGGUGAUGGACAACUGGUUGAUAUUCCAGUACCACUACCAUCGUUAUUAUCGAUGGCGUGACGCAGGAGGAUAGUGUGUGCUAGCUAUUGGAUGCUAGUCUAAGCGUUUAGGCAGUGAGAGUAGGCAAAUCCGCUCUCAUAAUGCUGAGGCGUGAUGGGGAAGGUUCCACGGAACCGAAGUACAUGAUUCCACGCUGCCAAGAAAAGCGUCUAGAGAGAGAAGUAGUGCCCGUACCGCAAACCGACACAGGUAGGUGAGGAGAGAAUCCUAAGGCCGGCGGAAGAAUUACAGUUAAGGAACUCGGCAAAUUGACCCCGUAAGUUCGCGAGAAGGGGUGCCUACGAGAGUAGGCCGCAGAGAAUAGGCCCAAGCAACUGUUUAGCAAAAACACAGGUCUCUGCUAAAGCGUAAGCUGAUGUAUAGGGGCUGACGCCUGCCCGGUGCUGGAAGGUUAAGGGGAACACUUAGCGCAAGCGAAGGUGUGAACUUAAGCCCCAGUAAACGGCGGCCGUAACUAUAACGGUCCUAAGGUAGCGAAAUUCCUUGUCAGGUAAGUUCUGACCCGCACGAAUGGCGUAAUGACUUGGGCACUGUCUCAACUGUAAAUCCGGCGAAGUUGUAGUGCGAGUGAAGAUGCUCGCUACCCGCGAUUGGACGGAAAGACCCCGUAGAGCUUUACUGUAGCUUAGCAUUGAGUUUUGGUAUUGUCUGUACAGGAUAGGUGGGAGACUAGGAAACCAGGGCGUCAGCCUUGGUGGAGUCAACCUUGGGAUACCACCCUGACAGUACUGAAAUUCUAACUGGCGGCCAUGAAUCUGGUCACAGGACAUUGUUAGGUGGGCAGUUUGACUGGGGCGGUCGCCUCCUAAAAAGUAACGGAGGCGCCCAAAGGUUCCCUCAGAACGGUCGGAAAUCGUUCGAAGAGUGCAAAGGCAGAAGGGAGCCUGACUGCGACACCCACAAGUGGAGCAGGGACGAAAGUCGGGCUUAGUGAUCCGGUGGUACCUCGUGGGAGGGCCAUCGCUCAACGGAUAAAAGCUACCUCGGGGAUAACAGGCUGAUCUCCCCCAAGAGUCCACAUCGACGGGGAGGUUUGGCACCUCGAUGUCGGCUCGUCGCAUCCUGGGGCUGAAGUAGGUCCCAAGGGUUGGGCUGUUCGCCCAUUAAAGCGGCACGCGAGCUGGGUUCAGAACGUCGUGAGACAGUUCGGUCCCUAUCCGUCGCGGGCGUAGGAAAUUUGAGAGGAGCUGUCCUUAGUACGAGAGGACCGGGAUGGACUGACCUCUGGUGUACCAGUUGUUCCGCCAGGAGCACAGCUGGGUAGCUAAGUCGGGAAUGGAUAAACGCUGAAAGCAUCUAAGCGUGAAGCCAACCUCAAGAUGAGAUUUCCCAUAGCGUAAGCUAGUAAGAUCCCUUGAAGAACACAAGGUUGAUAGGUCGGGGGUGUAAGCAUGGUAACAUGUUCAGCUGACCGAUACUAAUAGAUCGAGGGCUUGACCAAAU